GCCGGGUGCGGUGGCUCACGCCUGUAAUCCCAGCACUUGGGAGGCCGAGGCAGGUGGUUCACCUGAGGUUAGGAGUUUUGAGACCAGCCUGGCCAACAUGGUGAAAUCCCAUCUCUA
rnacentral:SRP_RNA from 2 species